CCUUCAACAGUAUUAGGGGAACCUGUCGUAUCAUCGAUAGUCCACGUUAGUCUUCACUUACUCUUGAACUUUACAGCUUGUAUACCUCCGUCAUAACUUACCUUUAAGAGAUUUGAAGUAAGUAAAAAGUAGAAGCAAUAUCAUUACCGUAUGACAGGUCAAGGUGCAGCUUAUGAGUAAAGUAUUAGAUGGGUUACAGUUCUCUAUGAGAUCACUAGAUCUUAUUGAUAAACAGAUAAGAGAAAUUGGACUUAAUAGUAAGAGAUCCAUAAGAAUAGAUCUCUGAAAUACUCACUAGAAGGUGUACAAAUC
rnacentral:rRNA from 1 species